CGCUCACCAAUCUCUCGCAAACGCUACCAGCGUAGUCGCAAGAGAGAGCGAGCGCUCUCCCGAGAGCAAACGGAGAGAGAAAGAGAGUGCAUCUACACCGUUCGGUGUGUGCGUUUUGUGUGUGUGUGUGUGUGGGGGGAAACCGGGCAUCAGCCAUCAGCGCUAGCAGUUAGUCCUGGUUUGUCUCUCCGCCAUCGCGGAGGCUGCGUGGUGUAAAACUUUCCCUUCCAAGCCGUAGACGCUCUUUAUUCCCUGUGCGAGCAAGACCUGCACGCAGGCACCCGUUUUUUUUUGUAUUGUUACACAGACCUUCUUCGGUGGAGGAAAGCGGGGCCAGUAAGCGGGGCAGUGCAAAAGUAGCUCCAGAGUGUUCCGUGUACUACGUGAAGAACUAGAUCUCCCUAUCGAGUGACGGCAAAGGACUUCUGUUCCGUUAAAAAAAAAGCCAAAGCAGGAAGUGUGUAUGUGCUCGCGUGUGUGCUUGUGUAGUUUGUACAGUGUGUGAGUUGCAUGUGUGUGUGUGUGUGUGUUUGU